CUGCUGACCAGCUGCAGCAAAAGUUCUGCUGCGUCAUCGGUCCCCUGACGUUUUAAAAGAAAGCGAUGAGCAUUAUCCAAGGUCCUCUUUCCAUCCCCUGUUGCUGUGCGUAUGAGAUGGGGGCCUUCACCCAGCACUAGGAGAAGUCUCCUGGCCAGUGUCACCCAGCCAGGAAGCGGCAAGUCAGAGACUGCCCUCAUGGCUCUUUCCUGCCCAGCCAGCUCCCCUCCGGAAGGAAGCUCUGCCCAGAAACAUGCACAGUUGGCAUCGCUCAGCCUGGUAGCCUCGGGUGGCCUGGAUCCUGUGAACGCUGCCUGUGCCGCCCUUCCUCUGGGCCAUCUAGAUCCUCUCCUCUCAGCCCUGCCUGGCCCAGGCAGGUAAAAGCAAAACCACCCCAGGCCAAGGAUUUACCUACCAUGCUUCUCUCUGAACCAGAGGCCUUCUGCAUGGCUGGAAUCUUCAACCACCUUCUGCUUUUACUCACCAAACACAAGGCAGCAGCUGAAGGUUGGGAGGCAACAGAGAAAAUGCGUGCCCGAGGCAGCAAGACUGGCACCGCCAAUCUCCUUCCCCGGGAUCCACACUCAGCAUCAAGCCACCGUAGCUUUGAACUGUGCGAGCAUCUGUGCUUUGUCUCGAUGUAUUUUGUGCUUCCGUUAGCAAGAUGUGUCCUAAGAGUGUACCCAUGUGUAAAGUCCAAAAAUCAGGGAAGCCCUGGUCUUGAUGACUCUGAGACCUCCAGCAGUGAAGAUUCACCGUUUAUCCCAACUGGUAGUACUCAGCUGCUGACUUGGGUAGCAAAACACAUCAAGAGGAAAUGCAAGUGGUCAAGAGACCUAAGAGGAGAGCUACCUCGCUGGAAUUUGGGAAAGCAAAUUCAAACAACAACGAAACCAUUUUGCCAUCAUCAGGUUGGCAAAAAUUUAAAAAGAUUGGCAACAUCCAAAUGCUGACAAGGUGGAAAGGAAGUAGACACUCUUCCGGUAUUGCUUGAGGGAGAGUGAAUUGCUACAAUCUUUGGGGAAAGUCUUCCUGCUGUAUUUAUUAACAAUAAAAAUACACAUUUAUUAACAAUAAAAAAGCAAUCCUAUUUGGGGGACUUUAUUCAACUGAAAUAAAAGUGUCACUACAUAAGGAUAUAUGGGUAAGUAUAUUUACUGCACCCUUAUUUAGAGUAGGAAAAAACUGGAAACCAUCCGAAGGUUCAGAAGUAGGGGAAUAAUUGGAUAAAUUACGGCACAGGUGUUCUAUGAAACACUAUACAACUAAUAAAAGACUGAGUUGGAUCUAGAUAUAUAGGCCUAGAGGUACACUUGUGAUAAACGGUUAAGUGAAAAAAACAGCUUGUGAAGUAAUAUAUGUGACACGAUCCCAUUUUCUUAAAAAGUAGAAAAAGAAAAAAGAAAAAAAUCCCAUAGAAACGUGUGUUUAAAUUGUAUGAUUUGGUGCGAGCAUGACAACAGUUUGACGAGCUUGGUUAUCGCAGUGGUGGAGAGAAGACUUUCCCUCUGCAUUGGCGUACUCCUGUGUUGUUCAACUUGCUCCAGCUAGCAAGUUAAUUUUGUUACUUUUGUUAUUUACAAUAAAAUAAACCCAAUAAA